CGAAGAGCUCCGCCAACAAGUUACCGCAUUAACUCAGUUGUUAAGCCAAAGGAACUCACACCCAUUGCAUACACCGACAUCGGAUGGUGAUCUGAUGGCAACUGCUCGAGUUCGAAUUCGAGCUCCACAAAAUAUUCCUAAUAACGGUGUUGGAACCUCGAGUGUACCUCCUAUGACUGUAGCCUCAAGGGCAGUAAUGAUGGAAUCGUGUGAACUUGCCAGAAUCAUCCAAGAAGGAAUUAUCGCGAGCCUAGCACAGAAAGCUAAGGGGUCAACAGACUUUACUCCUAGCACUCCUUUUACUCCUGAAAUAUUAUCCUUUUCUCUACCUGACAGGUUCAAGUACCCUCGUGUGAAAGAGUAUGAUGGUACUAUUGACCCUAUCAACCAUCUGAACAUUUAUACCAACGUCAUGAAUCUCUAAGUUGCUCCCGAUCAAGUUAUGUGUAGAGCUUUUCCUCAAACGUUGAUCAACGCAGCCCGAGACUGGUUUUCAACUUUGGAGCCUAGCCUCUUUCUCGGAUCUAGUCGAUAAGUUCUCCGCCUUCUUCGCCAGCAGCAAGUGCAUCAGGAAAACAACAGCUUCUCCCCAUGUAACUUCGACAUGGGCAGAAUAAAUCCCUUCGCAACUUCAUGACCAGAUUCAAUAAGGAAAGACUCCAGAUUCCAGACCUCCAUAUUAUAGCCACAGUCUCGACCUUAACACAUGCCAUAAGGUGUGAAGCGUUCAAGAUGUCUCUAUCAAAGACCCCUCCUACGUAAGUAACCGACCUACUUACUCGAGCCGAGAAUUACAUUAACAUGGAAGAGACUAUGUUUCCAAAGAGAGAUGCCCCACCAUCAGCUAAGCCCGAGCUUAAAAGGUAGCAUGAGCUUAAUCUGCAUUAAGAUCAACCUCGAGGUAAGACAAGGCAUGAAAACCCUUCAACAGCUUUUACUCGCAUGAAUAUCACAAGAUCUAACAUUUUGAUGAAGAUCAAGGAUAUGAAAGAGCUCAAAUGGCC
rnacentral:lncRNA from 1 species